AAAAUUAAGCUCUAUUAUUACUUAAAUAAAUGCAUAUAGAAACUGUCUAUCCUUCUGGUUAGCAAAAAGAAGCACCAAAUUGGUGUAAAGGCUGUAUUUAGUUGCAAAUCAACAUAUUUUAAUGGUUACCAACCAAAGAGAAGCAACUUUUCUGUAUGAAGAUAAUUAAAAAGUACAAACGCAAACACAAUUAAAAUCCAUUAUUUAAAUCAAUAUUUCCUGGUUGCUGAUUUAAAUUAUUAUUCAAAUUGGUGAUUUAAAUCGCUUUGAUUUAAAUGAAUCCACCUUGUUCAGAAGUAC